UAAAAGUCGUAACAAGGUCUCCGUUGGUGAACCAGCGGAGGGAUCAUUACCGAGUUUACAACUCCCAAACCCAAUGUGAACGUUACCAAACUGUUGCCUCGGCGGGAUCUCUGCCCCGGGUGCGUCGCAGCCCCGGACCAAGGCGCCCGCCGGAGGACCAACCAAAACUCUUUUUGUAUACCCCCUCGCGGGUUUUUUAUAAUCUGAGCCUUCUCGGCGCCUCUCGUAGGCGUUUCGAAAAUGAAUCAAAACUUUCAACAACGGAUCUCUUGGUUCUGGCAUCGAUGAAGAACGCAGCGAAAUGCGAUAAGUAAUGUGAAUUGCAGAAUUCAGUGAAUCAUCGAAUCUUUGAACGCACAUUGCGCCCGCCAGUAUUCUGGCGGGCAUGCCUGUCCGAGCGUCAUUUCAACCCUCGAACCCCUCCGGGGGGUCGGCGUUGGGGAUCGGCCCUGCCUCUUGGCGGUGGCCGUCUCCGAAAUACAGUGGCGGUCUCGCCGCAGCCUCUCCUGCGCAGUAGUUUGCACACUCGCAUCGGGAGCGCGGCGCGUCCACAGCCGUUAAACACCCAACUUCUGAAAUGUUGACCUCGGAUCAGGUAGGAAUACCCGCUGAACUUAAGC
rnacentral:rRNA from 1 species